rnacentral:tRNA from 1 species
GGGAAUGUAGCUUAGUGGUAGAGUGCUUGCCUAGCACGCAUGAAGCCCUGGGUUUGAUUCCUCAGUAUCA